rnacentral:rRNA from 2 species
UGGGGAAUAUUGCGCAAUGGGGGAAACCCUGACGCAGCAACGCCGCGUGAAGGAUGAAGGUCUUCGGAUCGUAAACUUUUGUCUUCGGGGACGAAACCUGACGGUACCCGAGGAGGAAGCCACGGCUAACUACGUGCCAGCAGCCGCGGUAAUACGUAGGUGGCAAGCGUUAUCCGGAAUUACUGGGUGUAAAGGGCGUGUAGGCGGGCUGACAAGUCUGGUGUGAAAUACCGCAGCUUAACUGCGGGGCUGCAUUGGAAACUGUCAGUCUUGAGUACUGGAGAGGAAAGCGGAAUUCCUAGUGUAGCGGUGAAAUGCGUAGAUAUUAGGAGGAACACCAGUGGCGAAGGCGGCUUUCUGGACAGAAACUGACGCUGAGGCGCGAAAGCGUCGGGAGCAAACAGG